rnacentral:tRNA from 1 species
GGGGCCGUGGUGUAGCCAGGUCUAGCACAUCGCGAUGACUAGAAAACCGGCUCCAGACCGGUUGACCCCGGUUCAAAUCCGGGCGGCCCCA